ACGACUUACAAUUUGGGAUGGAGGGAGUAACUUGCUCUAGGUGCACGGAGAACACUCUCGUACACCGAUAGUCCGGUCCAACAUUGUCAGCCACUCGUGGACCAUGGUUCUCCUCGAUGAAGGCCGUUACCCGCACACGCCGGCGUCGUGGACACUGCGUUCCAUUCAGGCCACUGCACCCACCACUGCGGCUCGACGGAGGGAACGAGGCUGUUCCCGGCGCGGCGGGCGCCCAGUCUUUUUAUCUCUGGAGAUGUUGAGCGGCGACUGUGACAUGGGCACAUGGCGGCGGCGGCAGCGGGUUGCGGUGCCAGCGCCAUGACCUAGAUCUCACGGCUCCGGCUCAACGGUCCACCUGCUUGGGGUGCCGUAUCUGGGAACGGAGGGCGCUGGGUGACCGCCGCCGCGCUUUGCCGGCUGCGAACACCGUCAGACCCUUACCCUUGCGCUAGGCACGUCAGGCGGUUGAUGACGCCGUCGCAGCAGCAGCAAUAAGAGGAGGCAGGAGAAGAUCCUAAUUCAUCCUUGUUGGAGCAGCAAUAUGAGGAGAAGACCACACAAGACGUAUUCAGAAUUUCAGAGAAGGAAGCACACCUAGGUCCAAGUGGUUUAGUUCCACUUCAGGAACAGUGAGUACACGGCGGCCAACAUCAGCAACAAAUCUGGCACAGAGCCUCUUGCUGGCCUGCCUUCGUGGGCCUCAAUGUUUCACGGAUGCAUUAACGCAGCCUGCUACACUGAUGCUUCUUUAACUCCUGGCAACUCGACUCACAUUCACAUGUCUAGAACAGCAUGACUUGGAAUUCUCUUUGUCAACCCACAGGUUCAACCGGUGCAGAUUAUCCACAUCAAAGCGAAAGUCUAUGGAGUCUAUUCUGUUGUCAUGGCCGAGGCAGCUGCGCUUGCGCUUGCUGCACUCAUCAACGACCGACUCAACUUCGAUAACACCAUAUUCCUCUCAGACUCUCAGAUCCUUGUGCAUUUUCUUAAUGCAGUGGACCACACUAACCCUCCGGAUUGGAGGAUGAAGCCCUUCGCCCAAUUAUUCAAAAGUGUUGCUCAUAGACGUCAGGGCAAGAUUCUUCAUAUCAAUAGAACAAUGAAUUCUAUAGCAGAUGCACUAGCUAGACUUGCUUUCUUAGCUCCAGACCUAUCGACUUCUGUAUUUCAACAUGCUCCCAUGACUCGCAUACUGAGCAGUGCUCUCUGAUAGAGGCACUUUCUGAUGUAAACUUUCAGUCUGUUAGACUAAUUGCAGCGUUUUGCUGCUAAUAUAAUUGGU